rnacentral:rRNA from 1 species
GACGAACGCUGGCGGCGUGCUUAACACAUGCAAGUCAAACGGAAAGGCCCUGCUUUUGUGGGGUGCUCGAGUGGCGAACGGGUGAGUAACACGUGAGUAACCUGCCCUUGACUUUGGGAUAACUUCAGGAAACUGGGGCUAAUACCGGAUAGGAGCUCCUGAUGCAUGGUGGGGGUUGGAAAGUUUCGGCGGUUGGGGAUGGACUCGCGGCUUAUCAGCUUGUUGGUGGGGUAGUGGCUUACCAAGGCUUUGACGGGUAGCCGGCCUGAGAGGGUGACCGGCCACAUUGGGACUGAGAUACGGCCCAGACUCCUACGGGAGGCAGCAGUGGGGAAUAUUGCACAAUGGGCGGAAGCCUGAUGCAGCAACGCCGCGUGCGGGAUGACGGCCUUCGGGUUGUAAACCGCUUUCGCCUGUGACGAAGCGUGAGUGACGGUAAUGGGUAAAGAAGCACCGGCUAACUACGUG